GGCCAGGUAGCUCAGGAGUAGAGCAGUGCCCUGAAAAGGCAUGUGUCGCAAGUGCGAAUCUUGCUCUGGCCACCA
rnacentral:tRNA from 1 species